GGUGAGAUGGCCGAGCGGUCUAAGGCGCCAGACUAAGGUUGGACUGUACAGCGACCAUGUUCCAUCUGGUCUCUUCGGGGGCGGGGGUUCGAAUCCCCCUCUCAUCA